rnacentral:rRNA from 1 species
UACGUAGGGUGCAAGCGUUGUCCGGAAUUAUUGGGCGUAAAGAGCUCGUAGGCGGUCUGUCGCGUCUGCUGUGAAAACUCGGGGCUUAACCCCGGGCCUGCAGUGGGUACGGGCAGACUAGAGUGCGGUAGGGGAGACUGGAAUUCCUGGUGUAGCGGUGAAAUGCGCAGAUAUCAGGAGGAACACCGGUGGCGAAGGCGGGUCUCAGGGCCGUAACUGACGCUGAGGAGCGAAAGCGUGGGGAGCGAACAGG